rnacentral:rRNA from 1 species
UAAACGACUCUCGGCAACGGAUAUCUCGGCUCUUGCAUCGAUGAAGAACGUAGCGAAAUGCGAUACUUGGUGUGAAUUGCAGAAUCCCGUGAACCAUCGAGUCUUUGAACGCAAGUUGCGCCGAAGCCAUUAGGCCGAAGCACGUCUGCCUGGGCGUCACGC